AGAAACGAGAACCACAUCAACAAACGACAACCACUGAACAUCAGGUUCCUGACUUAGGACAGGUGCAAACAAAUGCAGCGGGUUUAAACGUUUUAAUAGGCGCCAACCUUCACUCUACCUGAAACAAUAGUGUAACAUCACAACAUAGAAAGACACACUAUAAAAUAUCAAUUGAAAUGACUUAACUCAAUCAAAAGACAUAUUAACAAAAACAAGUGAACAUACACUGAACGAAUAAAUUUGAUCUAUGACACAAUGUAAAUACAGUCUACAUGUCCGUCAGAAAGUACACACAACCUCGUUUCAUAGAUCAGUUAUCAAGGUUCAGUUUUCGGUGGCCAAUUCUGUAUCUCAUAUAAUAUAAGCAAUAGGUCAACUAAAUUCGUACACUAGUGUACUUCUCCAACUGGCAGGUUUCAUUCGACCUUGACCUCAUUUUUAUGGUUUGGUCUGUUUCACUAUAUUUGGAAUGAUUGUAAUUAAAAGAUUUCCAUGUUUGACUGCUAUGAGCAGUACUCUAUUUGGCGAAUGUAUUGAUUGUAAGGUGUACAGAUCUAUCUGUCAUUGACCUAAUUCAUGAUUGUCUAAUUCUCGUAUACUAUAAGCAACAGGACAACUAUAUUUGGUGUACAUGUAUGUCUGGCAGGGUCAAUCUGAUAUUAAUCUCUUUUUUAAUGUUCAUUGUUCAACAUUCAAUUUUCAUAACGUUUGUUUCUCAGACACUACAAACAAUAUAGACUUACUUUAUUUGGAACAUGGUAUGAUUGUAAGGUGCACAAUGCACAUGUCUCUCUAGCAGGGUUCAUCUGACCUUGAUCACAUAUAAUGUCGAGUUUAAGUGAUACUUGUAGUAAAACUCUCAUACUGCAGACUGAAAAAUUAUAACACCAGGGUUUUCGAUAUCACAAACUAGUCAAAACAUUUACUAAAUUUUAUCAUCGGUAUAAGGACAUCAUUCGUAAAUGUAACUCAACAUGCAGACAUCUUAUACGUUCGGGUAUUUCACAUCCAAUCUUUUAUGGUAUUAUGGCAAUAUUCUUUACAAAGCACAAAAAUGUCAGUAUUCACCUCAAAAGCUAACAAAACCUUUAAACAGACUUAUUAAGAAGGGAUAUAGUUUCGAUACUGUUGUCAGGUCAUUAAAGAUUGCAUAUUUUGGCUUUAAUAUUGAUUCAUUUAUAGGGUCUUUGCAUCGGAAUUAAACAUAUUUAUUCUAAAAACAAGUUGUUGGCAUGACACGGGUUAUGUUCUUCUCAUAUAUUUUAUGAUGGUAUAAUACUAAACCCCUAACAGGAGGGAUUGUGCCUGAUAUUCAUAUGAUGAAGACAUAAUCUUUCAAUCAGUUUAAUUGAGGUCUGGAGCUGGCAUGUCAGUAACUGCUAGUAGUCUGUUGUUAUCUAUGUAUUAUUGUCAUUUUGUUUAUUUUCUUUUGUUUCCUAUUCUGACAUCGGACUUCUCUUAAACUGAGUUUUACUGUGCGUACUGUUGUACGUUUGUUUUUUCUACAUUGGCUAGAGGUAUAGGUGGAGGGUUGAGAUCUCAAAAAACAUGUUUAACCCCGCCGCAUUUUUGCGCCUGUCCCAAGUCAGGAGCCUCUGGCCUUUGUUAGUCUUGUAUAUUUUUUAAUUUUAGUUUCUUGUGUAUAAUUUGGAGUUUAGUAUGACGUCCAUUAUCACUGAACUAGUAUACAUAUUUGUUUAGGGGCCAGCUGAAGGACGCCUCCGGGUGCGGGAGUUUCUCGCUGCAUUGAAGACCCAUUGGUGGCCUUCGGCUGUUGUCUGCUCUAUGGUCGGGUUGUUGUCUCUUUGACACAUUCCCCAUUUCCAUUCUCAAUUUUAUUUCAACAUAAAUUAAACCAUGAUAAGUACUGCAGGCGAAACAUUUCAGCAUGUAAAUUCUUGUUAUAUAUAUUCAUAUUGUAAUAUACUCUUUGAGAGCCCAUUUAACGGAAAUAAAACAUCUUCUAUAUAUAUACAUGUAUAAACCAAAUAUUAUCUUCCAAUCAACAGGGAUUAAAACCUAAUCGACGCCUCUUGAUUGCCGUGAAGUAGUUUUACUUCCCAACAAGGGAAUAUACCUUCUUCAAAAUUUAAUUUUUUGGAUUAAAAUUCCAUGAAUCUGGAAAGGGCUAUGCAAACAACUUCCAAGGAAAUAUUGAAACCACACCAAGAACAUAACCUUUCAAGAAAAAAUUGUCUAAUGGCCUGGCCUUCAUUUCUUUUCAGACUUUGCUUACAAGGAUCUGACAAAGCUCCCUUCCAUUUUCUGUUGAUAUUUUAUUACAACAUCAACCAGUGAAAUUUCAGCCUUAAAUUUUUUGAAAACAAAACCAGGAUCAUGAAAGGCCUUUAAAAAAGAAACUAGACAGAGCAUUGUCAAUUUGUCAGAUCUUUGUAAGAAAACAUGGACACAGGAUCUGUAUUUCAAUCAGAAUUCAAUAUUUCUAGGACUACAUAAAUAAAUUUUGCCAUGUUAUACAAGUUUAGUUUGUGGUCAUUACUUUUAUUUGGUCUUACAAUGUUGGAUUUCUGUAAACAUUCUAAUACUGUCCAUAGCUAUGCUUUUUUGAGUAUUUUUAACCCGUAGAACUUUACUGUGGUAGGUCCAAUAACAAAA